UGAGGAAUAUUGGUCAAUGGACGAAAGUCUGAACCAGCAACGCCGCGUGGAGGAAGAAGGCCUUCGGGUUGUAAACUCCUUUUACGGGGGAAAAGGCAGGAUGGUACCCCGGGAAUAAGUCACGGCUAACUACGUGCCAGCAGCCGCGGUAAUACGUAGGUGACAAGCGUUAUCCGGAAUUACUGGGCGUAAAGCGCACGCAAGCGGUUGGACAAGUCCUAUGUGAAAUCUUCUGGCUUAACCAGGAGCGGUCGUGGGAAACUGUCGAGCUUGAGGCGAUGAGAGGGAUGCAGAAUUCCAGGUGUAGUGGUGGAAUGCGUAGAUAUCUGGAGGAAUACCAGUGGCGAAAGCGGCAUCCUGGCAUCGGCCUGACGCACAGGUGCGAAAGCGUGGGGAGCGAACGGG
rnacentral:rRNA from 1 species